rnacentral:misc_RNA from 1 species
GAGGCCUUUUUGUGCUCUCAGCAACGAUGUCGUACUCCAGGAGAUCAAGGUAUGAUUCACGUUCCCCAUCUCCUUAUGGCGGUGGUAGGUCUGUUUCAAGGUCUCUAUCAAGGUCAAGGAGUCGCUCCAGGAGUUGGGAAUCUAGUGAUGUUGAGAAUCCUGGGAAUAACUUGUAUGUGACUGGUUUAUCUUCUAGAAUUACA